rnacentral:rRNA from 1 species
CGCGUUGCCUCGGGCCGCCCUCGCGGGCGCCCAGAGGACACCAAUCGAAACUCUGCAUUUCAUGCGUCGGAGUCAUUAUGUGAAUCAAUCAAAACUUUCAACAACGGAUCUCUUGGUUCUGGCAUCGAUGAAGAACGCAGCGAAAUGCGAUAAGUAAUGUGAAUUGCAGAAUUCAGUGAAUCAUCGAAUCUUUGAACGCACAUUGCGCCCCUGGCAUUCCGGGGGCAUGCCCGUUCGAGCGUCAUUACACCACUCAAGCCUGGCUUGGUAUUGGGCGUCGGGAUGCACCCGCGCCUCUAUGUUUGUUCGGCUGGACGGUUGGAAUCUCAGCGUUGUGCAAUCAAUCCGCUGUGGGACCUGACUGGACGCGCCGUGAAAAUCUCAUCACAGGUUGACCUCGGAUCGGGUAGGGAUACCCGCUGAACUUAA